AGAGUUUGAUCCUGGCUCAAAAUCAACGCUGGCGGCGUGCCUAACACAAGCAAGUCGAACGAGAAAGUGGAGCAAUCCUUGAGUAAAGUGGCGACCGGGUGAGUAACACGUGACCAAUCUACCCUUGAGUGGGGGAUAACCUCGGGAAACCGGGGCUAAUACCACAUAACAUCCUUCGAACGGAAGUACUGGGGAUCAAAGGAGCAAUUCGCUUAAGGAGGAGGUCGCGGCUGAUUAGCUAGUUGGCGGGGUAAUGGCCCACCAAGGCAAAGAUCGGUAGCCGGCCUGAGAGGGCGCACGGCCACACUGGAACUGAAACACGGUCCAGACUCCUACGGGAGGCAGCAGUGGGGAAUUUUGCGCAAUGGGGGAAACCCUGACGCAGCAACGCCGCGUGGAGG
rnacentral:rRNA from 1 species